AAUCUUGCCCAAUGGGCGAAAGGCCGACGCAGCGACGCCGGGUGAGGGGACAAGGACCGAGGGAGGUAAAGCUCUGUUAGUCGCGAAGAUGAUGACGGUAGCGGGAGAAGAAGACCGGGCUAACUACGAUCCAGCAGCCGCGGUAAUACGGAGGGGUCUAGCGUUAUUCGGAUUUACUGGGCGGAAAGGGCGAGUAGGCGGAUGUCCGCGUCAGAGGUGAAAGCCCCGGGCUCGACCUGGGAACUGCCGUUGAAACGGGACAUCUUGAGUUCGGGAGAGGGUAGCGGAAUUCCCAGUGUAGAGGUGAAAUUCGUAGAUGUUGGGAAGAACACCGGUGGCGAAGGCGGCUACCUGGCCCGAUACUGACGCUGAGGCGCGAAAGCGUGGGGAGCAAAC
rnacentral:rRNA from 1 species